rnacentral:rRNA from 1 species
AUUAAGCAUAUCAAUAAGCGGAGGAAAAGAAACCAACAGGGAUUGCCUUAGUAGCGGCGAGUGAAGCGGCAAGAGCUCAAAUUUGAAAUCUGGUACCUUUGGUGCCCGAGUUGUAAUUUGAAGAUCACAAUCUUGAAAUUGGUCCUUGUCUAUGUUCCUUGGAACAGGACGUCACAGAGGGUGAGAAUCCCGUGCGAUGAGGAUACCUUUUUCAUUUAAGAUGUGUUCGACGAGUCGAGUUGUUUGGGAAUGCAGCUCAAAGUGGGUGGUAAAUUCCAUCUAAAGCUAAAUAUUGGCGAGAGACCGAUAGCGAACAAGUACAGUGAUGGAAAGAUGAAAAGAACUUUGAAAAGAGAGUGAAAAAGUACGUGAAAUUGUUGAAAGGGAAGGGUAUUUAAUCAGACUUGGUAUUUAGCUAUCUCUUCUCCUUGUGGGAGGGGCUCUAGCUUUUUACUGGGCCAGCAUCAGUUUUGGUGGUAAGAUAAUCGCAGUUGAAUGUGGCUCUUCGGAGUGUUAUAGCUUCUGUUGAUGUUACCUACCGGGACUGAGGUCUGCGGCUUUUGCCUAGGAUGCUGGCGUAAUGAUUAAACACCGCCCGUUG